rnacentral:rRNA from 1 species
UACGUAGGGUGCAAGCGUUAAUCGGAAUUACUGGGCGUAAAGCGUGCGCAGGCGGUUUUGUAAGACAGGCGUGAAAUCCCCGGGCUCAACCUGGGAAUUGCGCUUGUGACUGCAAAGCUGGAGUGCGGCAGAGGGGGAUGGAAUUCCGCGUGUAGCAGUGAAAUGCGUAGAUAUGCGGAGGAACACCGAUGGCGAAGGCAAUCCCCUGGGCCUGCACUGACGCUCAUGCACGAAAGCGUGGGGAGCAAACAGGAUUAGAUACCCUGGUAGUCCACGCCCUAAACGAUGUCAACUGGUUGUUGGGUAUUUACUUACUCAGUAACGAAGCUAACGCGUGAAGUUGACCGCCUGGGGAGUACGGCCGCAAGGUUGAA